GACGAACGCUGGCGGCGUGCCUAACACAUGCAAGUCGAACGGUGAACUAGGGAGCUUGCUCCUUCCGCAUUAGCGGCGGACGGGUGAGUAACACGUGGGCAACCUGCCUAGAACACUGGGAUAACCGCUGGAAACGACGGCUAAUACCGGAUACGACUCGGAAGGGCAUCCUCUCCGCGUGGAAAGAACUUCGGUUCGCGAUGAGCUCGCGGCCUAUCAGCUUGUUGGUGGGGUAACGGCUCACCAAGGCGACGACCGGUAGCCGGCCUGAGAGGGUGACCGGCCACACUGGGACUGAGACACGGCCCAGACGCCUACGGGAGGCAGCAGUGGGGAAUAUUGCACAAUGGGCGCAAGCCAGAUGCAGCAACGCCGCGUGAGGGACGACGGCCUUCGGGUUGUAAACCUCUUUGUGCAGGGAAGAAGCGAAAGUGACGGUACCUGCAGAAAAAGCACCGGCUAACUACGUG
rnacentral:rRNA from 1 species